rnacentral:rRNA from 1 species
UUGACCUCUGACCUCAAAUCAGGUAGGACUACCCGCUGAACUUAAGCAUAUCAAAA